UACGUAGGGUGCGAGCGUUGUCCGGAAUUACUGGGCGUAAAGAGCUCGUAGGCGGUCUGUCGCGUCGGCUGUGAAAACCCGGAGCUCAACUCCGGGCCUGCAGUCGAUACGGGCAGACUGGAGUUCGGCAGGGGAGACUGGAAUUCCUGGUGUAGCGGUGAAAUGCGCAGAUAUCAGGAGGAACACCGGUGGCGAAGGCGGGACUCUGGGCCGAUACUGACGCUGAGGAGCGAAAGCGUGGGGAGCAAACAGG
rnacentral:rRNA from 1 species